CAAUUUCAGGCAGAUUGCUAUUUAGUUUCUCGUAGAAAUGUAUUUCUAAGAGUAAACAGAUUAUAGCAUCUUCUAUCAGAAAUGGAAUCGGAUUUAUUGAUGAAUUGUAUUUUGUUCGUUUUGAAUAGCUUUUUUUAUAUAAAUUAAGUAAUGUUUUUAUGAAAUACUGUGAUAGCGAUUUAAUUUUAUAGUUUGAAUUAUUUGACUUUUUCUGAUUUUAAUAAAACCUUUCAUGUAAACCUUUUUAUCUUGUGGGUGGGAUAAAAUAAACCCAACGUCGAACUACACGAAACAAUUCCCAAUGUUAAUAUCGUGUGCUCUGUUGAGAAUAUGAGUGACACAGGAAAAAAUAAGUAACAGUGCUUGUUGUGGUGAAAAUGAUGAAAUUGAGGCAGAUGGAUAUCUUCGCUGGAAAUUGUAUGGAUAGAGUGAACUAUAAUGCUCGCUUUUUGUCACACAUACUAUCAUGAAUUCCAUUAUUCUAAAUUUCACAUAGUGGAAAUCACGACAGAGCAAAAAAUAAAAAUUCUUCGUAUUCUCUAUAAGAGGGCUCAGAUUAUGCCAAAAACUAUGCAAACAUCACUUUCUUUUGAAGUAGUAUCUUCUUGUUUUAUGAUAUAUCAUUACAAGACAGUUGUGACAUUGUAAAGCUGUUCAGUUUUUUUUAAUCGAGAAAACACCACUGUGGCUGGGGGAAGAAUAAACCUCCUGUAUGACUCGCAAAAUCGGAAUGUUUUAUUAAUGUGUCCUGAAUACAAUGAUUAUUCCGAUAGCAGAUAUUUUCAAUUACUCUCGUAGUCGACAGUGGUCUCGUAGUCGUAGUGGACAGUGGUGGUAAUAAAGGGUUCUCACUCUUAAGAAUGUGAGCUCCCGCAGAAGAUGAAUGGCUGAGAGAAGGUCCAUAUAUUCCUAUAAAGGAAAUAAAAAAAAAGCAAAAAGUUCAUUCUCUUUCUAAAAGGGCCGAGAUGAUGCUGGUGCCUGUCGAGAGAUUUGUCAACUCUGGAGUUCAUGCGUGGAUACAGGGGUCAAUGUCCACAUAGACUUUAUAUCCUGCCAAUAUAAACAUUGUAGAGAGGCGACCGGAUGGCCGAAUGGUAACGCUGUCGUCGUGCCACGCAGGAGGACCCGGGUUCGCGUUCCAGGUCUGGUAAUUCCUGAAAAGUUUCUUCGGGAUUCUGGGCCCUGCGAU
rnacentral:lncRNA from 1 species